CACGUAGGGCGCAAGCGUUGUCCGGAAUUAUUGGGCGUAAAGAGCUCGUAGGUGGUUUGUUACGUCUGCUGUGAAAACCUAGGGCUUAACCCUGGGCUUGCAGUGGAUACGGGCAGACUAGAGGUAGGUAGGGGAGAAUGGAAUUCCUGGUGUAGCGGUGGAAUGCGCAGAUAUCAGGAGGAACACCGGUGGCGAAGGCGGGUCUCUGGGCCGUACUGACUGCGUGAGAAGCGAAAGCGUGGGGAGCGAACAGGAUUAGAACGUAC
rnacentral:rRNA from 1 species